UAGGGAAUAUUGCAAAAUGGGCGAAAGCCUGAUGCAGCAACGCCGCGUGUGCGAUGAAGGCCUUCGGGUCGUAAAGCACUUUUCGAUGGGAUGAGGAAGGACAGUACCGUCGGAAUAAGCCUCGGCUAACUACGUGCCAGCAGCCGCGGUAAAACGUAGGAGGCGAGCGUUAUCCGGAUUUACUGGGUGUAAAGCGCGUGCAGGCGGAGCGGAAAGUUGGAUGUGAAAGCUCCCGGCUUGACUGGGAGAGGUCGUUCAAAACUACCGAUCUAGAGUACAGUAGAGGGAAGUGGAAUUCCGGGUGUAGUGGUGAAAUGCGUAGAUAUCCGGAGGAACACCAGUGGCGAAAGCGGCUUUCUGGACUGUAACUGACGCUCAGACGCGAAAGCUAGGGUAGCAAACGG
rnacentral:rRNA from 1 species